UUUUCGUUUCCUUUAGCAUCCCUCUCACCAUAACAUCUUCAUCAUUCUGCUAUUGGCUGUUACAUUUCAUCAAUCCACCAUAUCUCUCACUUCUUGUCUAUUCUUGUUUUCCAUUAAUAAAAUUGAUUCCAUCUUUUAUUUAAAAAUCCUCCUCCCCCUGUGGCUAUGCUUAGAUUUUUCUCUUUUUCUUUAUAAUUUUGAGCAAAAUGAUAUGCCCUUAUAGAUUUUUUAUUUUUAUGUUCAGAUUAACUAAUAGACAAGUUCAAAGAAAGUUAGAGAAAUGAAGCUUUGACUACUCCGACAAUCUCCAGCUGUUUUCUCUAUCCCAUUCUUAGCUGGAAAGGGACUUGAA
rnacentral:misc_RNA from 1 species